AACGCACCUUGCACCCAUUGGUAUUCCAAAGGGUAUGCUCGUUUGAGUGUCAUUGUACUCUCACACUCUAAUGAAUUUUGGAGAAGUGGACUUGGGUGUUGCUGCUUUGCUGUGGCUCAUCUUAAAUAUGCUAGUGCAACUCAUGGUUGGAUAUAGUACAGCGUGAUAAGUAUCCUCGCUGGCGCCUCAUGAAGAGGGUGUCCGAUUGGGAGCUCUGUGCUUCAAACUGUCCUGUCUGGGACAAUCUCUGACAACUUGGCCUCAAAUCGAGUAGGACUACCCGCUGAACUUAA
rnacentral:misc_RNA from 1 species